UACGUAGGGUGCAAGCGUUGUCCGGAAUUAUUGGGCGUAAAGAGCUCGUAGGCGGUUCGUCGCGUCGGCUGUGAAAUCCCGAGGCUCAACCUCGGGUCUGCAGUCGAUACGGGCAGACUUGAGUACUGCAGGGGAGACUGGAAUUCCUGGUGUAGCGGUGGAAUGCGCAGAUAUCAGGAGGAACACCGGUGGCGAAGGCGGGUCUCUGGGCAGUAACUGACGCUGAGGAGCGAAAGCGUGGGGAGCGAACAGG
rnacentral:rRNA from 1 species